rnacentral:rRNA from 1 species
UACGUAGGAGGCAAGCGUUGUCCGGAAUUAUUGGGCGUAAAGAGCGCGUAGGCGGUGUGUCAAGUCAGGCGUGAAAGCCCCGGGCUCAACCUGGGAACCGCGCUUGAGACUGGCACGCUAGAGUUCGGGAGAGGAUGGUGGAAUUCCCAGUGUAGAGGUGAAAUUCGUAGAUAUUGGGAAGAACACCGAUGGCGAAGGCAGCCAUCUGGACCGACACUGACGCUGAGGCGCGAAAGCGUGGGGAGCAAACAGG